GACGAACGCUGGCGGCGUGCCUAAUACAUGCAAGUUGAGCGCUGAAGGUUGGUACUUGUACCAGCUGGAUGAGCAGCGAACGGGUGAGUAACGCGUGGGGAAUCUGCCUUUGAGCGGGGGACAACAUUUGGAAACGAAUGCUAAUACCGCAUAAAAACUUUAAACACAAGUUUUAAGUUUGAAAGAUGCAAUUGCAUCACUCAAAGAUGAUCCCGCGUUGUAUUAGCUAGUUGGUGAGGUAAAGGCUCACCAAGGCGAUGAUACAUAGCCGACCUGAGAGGGUGAUCGGCCACAUUGGGACUGAGACACGGCCCAAACUCCUACGGGAGGCAGCAGUAGGGAAUCUUCGGCAAUGGACGAAAGUCUGACCGAGCAACGCCGCGUGAGUGAAGAAGGUUUUCGGAUCGUAAAACUCUGUUGGUAGAGAAGAACGUUGGUGAGAGUGGAAAGCUCAUCAAGUGACGGUAACUACCCAGAAAGGGACGGCUAACUACGUG
rnacentral:rRNA from 1 species